rnacentral:rRNA from 1 species
AUUGAACGCUGGCGGAAUGCUUUACACAUGCAAGUCGAACGGCAGCACGGGUGCUUGCACCUGGUGGCGAGUGGCGAACGGGUGAGUAACAUAUCGGGACGUAUCCAAUAAUGGGGGAUAACUAAUCGAAAGGUUGGCUAAUACCGCAUACGCCCUACGGGGGAAAGCUAGGGACCUUCGGGCCUGGCGUUAAUGGAGCGGCCGAUAUCUGAUUAGCUAGUUGGUGGGGUAAUGGCCUACCAAGGCGACGAUCAGUAGCUGGUCUGAGAGGACGACCAGACACACUGGAACUGAGACACGGUCCAGACUCCUACGGGAGGCAGCAGUGGGGAAUUUUGGACAAUGGGCGCAAGCCUGAUCCAGCCAUUCCGCGUGAGUGAAGAAGGCCUUCGGGUUGUAAAGCUCUUUCGCAAGGGAAGAAAACUUAUCCUCUAACAUAGGAUGAGGUUGACGGUACCUUGAUAAGAAGCACCGGCUAACUACGUGCCAGCAGCCGCCGUAA